rnacentral:rRNA from 1 species
CCCUUAGAUGUUCUGAACCGCACGCGUGUUACACUGAUGCAUUCAACGAGCUUUACCUUGGCCGAGAGGCCUGGGAAAUCUUUUUAGCAUGCAUCGUGAUAGGGAUUGAUUAUUGCAAUUAUUAAUCAUGAACGAGGAAUUCCUAGUAAACGCAUUUCAUCAAAAUGCAUUGAUUACGUCCCUGCCCUUUGUACACACCGCCCGUCGCGCCUACCGAUUGAGUGGUCCGGUGAAGUCUCGAGAUUGUGGCAAUCUCCUUUAUUGGAGUUUGACUGCGAGAACUUGCCUAAACCUUAUCACUUAGAGGAAGGUGAAGUCGUAACA